UACGUAGGGGGCGAGCGUUGUCCGGAGUUACUGGGCGUAAAGGGCGCGCAGGCGGUCUGGUAAGUUUGGAGUGACAGUGCUCGGCUUAACUGAGCAAGGCCUUCGAAAACUAUCAGACUUGAGCACUCAAGAGGGACAUAGAAUUCCGGGUGGAGUGGUGAAAUGCGUAGAUAUCCGGAGGAAAUACCAAAGGCGAAGGCAGUGUCCUGGGGAGUGUCUGACGCUCAGGCGCGAAAGCUAGGGGAGCGAACAGG
rnacentral:rRNA from 1 species